UGAAGUAGACAUAAAUAAUUUUAUUCCUUCUUUCUCUCAUAAGUAUCAUCAACUUCUUGUCUUUUUGGGGACUGUGUUUUAGUCCACAGGGGCUGAUAGUUCUAAAGCUGAGAUGAAUAGAAUAUUAAGUACCCUGGAAAACAGCCUGUUUUUUUGAGCCUGAAAAUUUAUAAUUAUAUACCAUAUGUUUAAACCCCAAUCAUUAAACCCCUUCCAUGUUUAGUCUCCUCUGUGCUAGGGAGAUUUGGGAUAUCUGUUUUAACAAUGUCUUGAGUUCUUGAUUUUCUUCUAGUGACUCAGUCUGGACUGAAAAAGGAGAGGAGUUUGUUCUUAUUGUCAAGAUGGCAAUGGGAAAGAUAUGCUUACAGCAUCUGGGAAUUGAAACUUCUUUUGGAGCUUCUUUUUUGGAUCACAUUAGAGCCACAUAGUUCUUCUUUGAUCAUUAAAAGCAAUUGAAUAAGAGGCAGCAGAUGAUGCAUUCAGGGCAAAUGAAGUCCAAGUUGUACCUGAGAAGGUUUCCGGAGACUUGGAGCCAGGGCGGAGUCAUCAGUGAUGACUGAUCCAUGGCAGUAGAGGCAUGUGAAGCUCAAAAGCAUCUUACACCUUCUUGUUGAAGAUAGUGGGCAGAGCAGACCUGAAAGCCCACUAAAAUAGCAAUAAUGGAAUUCAGAUAAAACAUAGUCCUCAGCUUUAAACAAUAGGGAACAAAGGGGAAACAGUGAAAUUAAGUUCUCUCGACAAACUUUGGAAUGUUGGAGGAAGAAUGUUGACUGAUGAUAUAAAGUAAAAGAAGAUACAACCUAAAAUACAUGCAGAUUUCAGUAUGAAGUAGGCUGGGAACAAAACAAAAGGCUGAAAUUAGGGUGAUUAGCCAUCUGAGUUUGCCUGGGACUAUCCUGGUUUUAGGACUGAAAAAUCUCAUGUCCCUAGAAAUCCCUCAGUCUCAGGCAAACAUGGGUAGCUGAUCACCCUAGCUGGAAGCACAGAGUAUUAUACUAAAGUUCAUAUACAGAUUUCCUGUUUCCUCCAUCCACAAUCAUGCAUUUAAAACAAUAGAAAAGAAAUAUGCUAAACUGGAUUGAUACUUGGGUGUUAGAUGUUUGGGUAAUUUUAAUUGGUUUU
rnacentral:lncRNA from 12 species